GGGCCCGCACAAGCGGUGGAGCAUGUGGUUUAAUUCGAUGAUACGCGAGGAACCUUACCAGGGCUUAAAUGUAGUAUGACCGGUCUAGAAAUAGACCUUCUCUUCGGAGCAGAUUACAAGGUGCUGCAUGGUUGUCGUCAGCUCGUGCCGUGAGGUGUUAGGUUAAGUCCUGCAACGAGCGCAACCCCCUAUUCUUAGUUGCCAGCGGUUCGGCCGGGGACUCUAAGAAGACUGCCAGCGCAAAGCUGAGAGGAAGGUGGGGAUGACGUCAAAUCAUCACGGCCCCUUACGUCCUGGGCUACACACGUGCUACAAUGGUACAGACAGAGGGCAGCCACUUGGCGACAGGGAGCG
rnacentral:rRNA from 1 species